UCUCUCUCUCUCUCUCUCUCUGUGUGUGUGUGUGUAUGUAUAUGUAUGUACACACACAGAGAGAGAGAGAGAGAGAGA